ensembl:lncRNA
AUGGAGCCUCAUCCAAAUAGAAAAGAAUAUUUUAUAAAAUAUAAACAUUUAAAUAUCGAUGAUUUAAAAGAGGAGGCUGCUGACUUGCAGAAUGAUUACCUUAAAAACACAAAAACCUCUGAAUAUCCCAAACCAGAAUUUUAUGUGUCUCAUCUAAAACACGACACAGGCCCAAAAGCUUUACGUGAGAUAAAGGAUGAAGGCCUCAAGGAUCCAUCCAAUAAUGACAGUCUGUCCCUGGUGUGGUGGAGUCUGGCUGUGCGACCAGAAGAGAUCCAAUCAGCUGAGAGGAGGCUCCUGGAGGAGACCUUCCCAAACCGGACCAAGGAGCAGGCCCAGAGGCAGCAAAGCUUCCUGUUGAAGUUUGCCUCCUCUCCAGCCUUCAGUGAGAAGUCCAGAUAUGGAUCGUACCGCUUCACCUUCACAGUGAAUGAGGUGCUGGAGGCCUACAGACAGCAGAUUUGCAACGACAUGCAGCCCGUCAUGCGGGUCUUCAAGACCUCCUUGUACAAAAAGGAAGUGAUGUAUGUGGUGCUGGUCCACAGCCCAAAUGAUAACAACAAUAAGAUCUAUAACUUCGAACAGUAUCCCAUCCUGCCUGAUGAGCCGAACCCCAUCUGUGCUUACAAAGAUGGAUGCUUCAUCUGGAGACCACAGGCCAUGUGCGGGGAAAAAAGGUAUACGUAUAAAAUAGACGAGGUCAACAACCUGGCAGAGGUUAAAGGGCCGUUUGAAAAGCCUUACUGUGUCUGGGAUCACGUCGUCCUUGCCCUGCAUGUGAAGAGCGGACAGAAACUGAAGUUUAACUCUGAUGAUCUGAGAAAGAACCUCUCAUUCUGUGAGUGUGACGCUGUGACAGUCAAAAGAUUGAAGAUUGCUGAAGAUUGUUUUAUUAAUUACGAGGAAGCUCAAGAGCUGGUUACUUCUCUGUGGCCACUGAAGAAGGAGGGGGAGGAGAAGGAUCCACCCAUGCAGAGUAUGGCAGGUCUCACUCUCUUGGAAAGAAACAGACCACGAGAUGAUUAAAUGGAGUGUGAAGACUCCCUGCAGCGAGACAGCAUCCUUAGUUUGAACUCUCUGGGUUCUGCAAACUUUUCUUGUUCCUUAUUUUUAAGAGACCAAAUAUAAAACUUCAUGUUGGUGUGGUGAAAGCAUUGAAAGCAUGUGAAUUUCAUGUUUUAUAUUGUAAUCUUUAGUCAUGCUGAGGCUGUCUGUGGGGCAAUUGUACUUUUAUUCUCCUAUUUCUGAGUGAGUGGAGCAUCAACAUGCUGCCAACAAAACCCCGGUGGAGGUUAUAUAGAAGGAUCGUUCAGCAGGAAGGAACUCAAACUGUUUCACCUGAUUUUAAUAGUUGAUUUAAGGUUCAUUUAAUGAACUUCGUGUGGUCACUAAGUGCACAGUAAAAGACAAAUGAUGACAAAAACAUGAUGAUAUGAGGAACGUGUGAUCAUGUGUUUUACUGCAGUCUGUCCUGUCUGGGUGUGACGUGUUCAAGUACCUGAAUUAAAAAGAAAUUACUUUGUACACAUAAAAACUGGACAAUAAAGUUGAUUUGAAACAGUUUUAUGUUUUUAAUUUCCAUUGGAUUCUCUAAGAAAAUUUAAUACAUUCAUCUGUCGCUCUGCAUGUGGAGAGCACACACACACACAUAUAUAUAUAUAUAUAUAGAGAGAGAGAGAGAGAGAGAGAGUCAAACUCAUAGUAUGAAUUCUGUUUAACACAGUUUUAAAUGUUUUAGUUUUUCAUUCGAUAUUAUUAGUAUGACAAAGAUGGCGAGCAGCCAUGUAGAGAUCUUCAGAACCAAUUUGGCAAACACUGAAACUGUGUUAUCAAAUAUGGGUUUAGAUGUAUUUUACAUUCUUAUAAUAACCUUAUUAGGAUCAAGUUUAUCAUCACACCAGAUUUAAAAGGUAACUUUCUUUUAUGAGUCUUUUAGAUUAUGUAAGUGGAGAGGAUGAUUUCCUCUUAUUGUUCGGCAUUUGAUUAAGAUGUUGUUUCCUAUUGCUUAACCUAACAAAAGUAUUGAUGUCUGUGCAAAUAAUUUAUUUUUUCAUACACAGCAGACUUGACUCCUUCUACGUGUAAUAUAAUAUAUCCCAGAGCAAAAAAGCACCGUGAAAAAAAAAAUCAGAACUCGUUCCUAUUUAUCGUCCCAAUUGUAUUAAAACAAUUUCACCCCGGAUGAGCUAUUUUUGUGCAGCCUCCCCCUCUUAGACUGAGGUUAAGUGAGAGACAGAGUUUUUCUUUUUUAGAGGUACUUUUACAAGAGGGAAGCUGCUUUUCUCAUAAGAAAAUUACCGUGAAGUGAGGGAAACUGACACCCGCUGGAUGGGGAUAAAAAGCGGGAGGAGCAAGCAGGGGGAAACAGUGGAGACAGAUCCACGACACGCGCAAGUCUGCGGAUCGGGAGGGAAACCUGUGAUUAUGUCCGCAAACGGAUCAAACAACGACGUGGAUCAGAGAGGCCCGGCCGGGUUGUCGGACGGGGAAACCUUCAGGUCUCACGCCG